GACGAACGCUGGCGGCGUGCUUAACACAUGCAAGUCGAACGGAAAGGCCCCUUUGGGGGUACUCGAGUGGCGAACGGGUGAGUAACACGUGAGUAACCUGCCCUUGACUUCGGGAUAACUUCAGGAAACUGGGGCAAUUACCGAAUGGAAAUCCUUGCGGCAUGGGGGGGGUUGGAAAGCUUUGGCGGUUUUGGAUGGACUCGCGGCUUAUCAGCUUGUUGGUGGGGGAGUGGCUUACCAAGGCUUUGACGGGUAGCCGGCCUGGGAGGGCGACCGGCCACAUUGGGACUGAGAUACGGCCCAGACUCCUACGGGAGGCAGCAGUGGGGAAUAUUGCACAAUGGGCGGAAGCCUGAUGCAGCAACGCCGCGGGCGGGAUGACGGCCUUCGGGUUGUAAACCGCUUUCAGCAGGGGCGAAGCUUGUGGUGACGGUACCUGCAGAAGAAGCACCGGCUAACUACGUG
rnacentral:rRNA from 1 species